CCCUGAUCCAGGACAUCUUUAGCAGAGCUGUGGUUUUUCUCCAGGGAGUCCCACUCAAGAAGAUUGUUUUAGCACAAGUACCUAAACAUUGGACUGAAGGCAACAACUUGACAAUCAGGAAACAGAUAUCAGAUUCUGCUAUGGGGGAACUUCUCUUAUCAGUAAGCUUUGAGAGCUGAAAGGAAAGAAGAUCAUGGAGUGCACAGACUGCUGGAUUGGUGAAAGUGGCUGAAGUUACAGGACUUCAUACUGAGAUCAAGAAGGAGGGUAGGAAACCCCUGUGGAUUUUGCAAGAGCUCCUACAGAUUGAUGAGGGAGGAAAAAUAAAAGAAGGACUGCUUUGAAGCAUCAGCCCUGGUGGUGACACAACCAUGAUCCCAGUGGUCAGCCAGCUGCUAAC